UGCCCACAGGUUCUUUUCCCAUUGGAUCUGAACACCAGUUUUGGUGGUUGUUAAAGGAGGAAAAGUAAUACUGAAGCUGGCCUCAUGGUGCUUGUAGUCUGCUCUAUAGCAUGUGGGCUAGUUUCAAAUAAAG
ensembl:snoRNA